CUCGCCCUUUCUCCUUUCUCAAUGGACCCAUACCGAAUAUAGUAUAAAAUCAUGAGUUUAUUCCUUUGUCUUACCAAGAAGAGCCUCUCGUAAACAUCACAGACCUUGUUUGCACACCUGUCCAGAGUUUGAGGUCAUUACUCAGCACAUAACCCUUAGGGCCAGCACUGCAGGUGUAACCUGAGAAAAAACACCAGAGCACACAGAUCGAGGAGCCCUUGAUGUGACUGGAGCUGGUGGAUCUCAAGCUGUGUCCACGAUCACGGAGGGGAUCUUAAAGCUGCUGUAGCAGUCACAGAGAGAGAGAGAGAGGCAGAGACACAGGCAGAGGGAGAAGCAGGCUCCAUGCACUGGGAGCCCGACGUGGGAUUCGAUCCCGGAUCUCCAGGAUCGCGCCCUGGGCCAAAGGCAGGCGCCAAACCGCUGCGCCACCCAGGGAUCCCGUGAAGGCGCUGGUUCUUAAAUGUCAGAAAACCAUGAUACAGACCAUCUUCCAUCCCUAAAGAGCCCGCAAUUUCUUUUCAAGAAGCAGUGUUAACCUUGGGCUCCUUGACAUAUCUCAAAUGCAGCAAUUGCAUUCUGCUUGUUUCGACUUUCCUCGGAAGCGAAAUCCUUGGAAGACAUCAUAGAGUGAAAGGCUUCGGUUGCAAGGACCCUUAAGAUUAUCUAAGCCCGUGGUUUCCAUCCUGGGAACACUCUGUCCAAACGGCAACCCAAGUGGAAGCGCACGCACAAUUGAAGCCGUCUUUGUCAGCUCCCUCUCUCACCCCUUCGUGUGGUUCUCUUUGCAAGUAACUUCCAUAAUGAUAAUUAAUCAUGGAUACUAGAAUAUCUCCAGGAUCCACGCACUCAAUACAUACUUGCCAAGUGGAUUAAUGGACAUGGGUACCCAUGUGCAAUCCCCUCGGGUCUGACGGAGCAGUUUGAAAACCUUGCUCUAACUCAACCUCCUCAAAACAAGAAAGCAGAGGUCAGAAAAAGGACACUCACAGCCACUGACAAGUCAGGUGGCUACACAGUGGCAGAGCCAGGCCUUGGGGUUAGAACACCUUAUCAGAGAGACUUUGUCCAUGGCCCUGUUGGGAUUUAUGGUUGAAAGGCCGAGUAGGAUGUGUCCACCCAGCCCCUGCAGCUGUGUUACAAAAGGAACUUGUUCAAAACCGCAGAGUCCUGGACCCUGAUGCGGGGCUAGUGAACUGUGACUCCCUUGGCAGUGGGAUGCAGGACUCUGUGCUUAGAAUAAGCCUCCUGGAGUCAUCCUUGCACACGCUGAAGUUGGAGAAGUGGACUCUCCAAGGGUUCCUAGUCUGGCCCCAGGAGGUAACUGGCGACGUAGCUGUGUUCCUUCUCCUGCUUGGGGCCAGAAUGAAGAGCCACAGGCCUACCUGGCAGGCUAUGUAGGUCACGUUCUUGACUGAUUUCCUCUAUAACCAUUUACUGACAAUUACCAUGUCCUCAGGGUUCCAACCUUGUCCCUCUUCAUUUUCCAUGACAUCCUCAUGUAGGGACGCCUGGGUGGCUCAGCAGUUGAGCGUCUGCCUUUGGCUCAGGGCGCGAUCUGGGGGUCCCAGGAUCGACUUCUGCCUCGGGCUCCCCGUGGGGAGCCUGCUCCUCCCUCUGUCUCUGCCUCUCUCUCUCUGCUUCUUUCAUGAAUGCAUAAAUAAAAUCUUAAAAAAAAAAAAAUCCCCAUGUGAUCUCACUCACGCUUGGUCUCCACCACCACGCUUUCCUGGGAAUCUAGUCCUGUAGCCCAGUCCUAAACACACAACUACCUGUGGCCUGACACUCUUCGGUCACUCCAUCCACUCCCUUGUCUGGACUGGCUUGUGAGUGCUCGCAGAAUAGAACAUGAGGACGACGCUACAUUACUUUAGGAGCCAGGUCAUGAAGGGCAUGUGGCUUCCACUUGGUCCUCCUGGGUGGGAUGCUCUGUCUCAAAAUCCAGCCUCUGCCUCAAGCAGCCUAAGCCACCUGGACAUGCUCCGGUGGACAGAGCCCGGGGAGUGUAGUCUUCAAGUCAACCCAUCCCCAUCCCUACACCUAGGAGGGAAGAAGCCUCAUAGGACCCCAGCCUCGGCCACUGAACUUAACUGCAGCUUCCCUGACAUGUAGGCUAGAAGAUAAGCCCACCCUGGGAGGUUCUAUCCAAAUUCCUGAGCCCCAGAAUCCUUGAUCAAAUGCAACAGCUACUGUCUCAUGCCUCUCGUUUUUGGGGAUUAAAAAAAAUAUAUGCUUAUUUAUUUGAGAGAGAGAAAGCGAAAGAGAACACAAGUAAGGGGGAGGGGCAGAGGGUGAAUGGGAAGCAGACUCCCCACCGAGCAGGGAGCCCAAUCCCAGGACCCCAGGAUCAUGACCUGAGCCUAAGGCAGAUGCUUAACCAACUGGACCACCCAGGUGCCCCUGGGACCCCUGGGACCCCUGGGACCCCUGGGGGAUGUAUUGUUAUGCAAGGAUCAGGAACUAGAACAAACUGCAACCAAAUGUCCCACAAAAAAAAAAAAAAAAAAGUGAAAUGUGAUGUGGGCCAACGGUACUUUCUCCUUCCUGAGGUUCUGUGUUUGGAGAUGGCCACCAUCCACCCAGCGUUCGUUGCCAUCACCCUGGGGUUCCA